rnacentral:rRNA from 1 species
CCUACGGGCGGCAGCAGUGAGGAAUAUUGGUCAAUGGCCGUAAGGCUGAACCAGCCAAGUCGCGUGAAGGAAGAAGGAUCUAUGGUUUGUAAACUUCUUUUAUAGGGGAAUAAAGGUAUCCACGUGUGGAUAUUUUCAUGUACCCUAUGAAUAAGCAUCGGCUAACUCCGUGCCAGCAGCCGCGGUAAUACGGAGGAUGCGAGCGUUAUCCGGAUUUAUUGGGUUUAAGGGGUGCGUAGGCGGAAGGUUAAGUCAGCGGUAAAAGGUCGGUGAUCAACCCCGGCCUGCCGUUGAAACGGGUCUUCUUGAGUGAGCGAGAAGUAUGCGGAAUGCGUGGUGUAGCGGUGAAAUGCAUAGAUAUCACGCAGAACUCCGAUUGCGAAGGCAGCAUACCGGCGCUCAACUGACGCUGAGGCACGAAAGCGUGGGGAUCGAACAGGAUUAGAUACCCGUGUAGUC